UGGUGCGGAAAGGGCCCACAGU
rnacentral:miRNA from 2 species